rnacentral:misc_RNA from 1 species
GAUGAAGAACGUAGCGAAAUGCGAUAAGUAAUGUGAAUUGCAGAAUUCAGUGAAUCAUCGAAUCUUUGAACGCACCUUGCGCCCUUUGGCCAUUCCGAAGGGCAUGCCUGUCCGAGCGUCAUUUCUGCCCUCAAGCCCGGCUUGUGUGUUGGGCGUGGUCCCCCCGGUUUAGGGGGGACCUGCCCGAAAGGCAGCGGCGACGUUCCGCCUAGGUCCUCGAGCGUAUGGGGCUUUGUCACCCGCUCGGGAGGGGCCUACGGGCGUUGGCCAUCCACCAUUUAUUUUUUUUACGGUUGACCUCGGAUCAGGUAGGAGUUACCCGCUGAACUUAAGCAUAUCAAUAAGCGGAGGA